rnacentral:lncRNA from 1 species
UUUGGAUCAACGUGACUAAUUAUUUAAAAAAUAAAUAAAAUUAACGAACCAGACUGAGACACGUGGCACUGGGUUAAACAAAAGAACCACAUGUGACAUGUAGAGAAAUAAGGAGAAAAAAAUAACAGUUUAGCAACCCAUUUAUUGGUCAUUUAUCAGUCACAUUGAAGUAUUCAAACAUUAAAAUAAUGAUGAUAUAAAUGACAUUGAAAAAAAGGAAGAAAAAAAAAACAAAUCAGUCAGCACAUCACUCCCUAUCUGUUUC